GAUGAAGAACGCAGCGAAAUGCGAUAAGUAGUGUGAAUUGCAGAAUUCAGUGAAUCAUCGAAUCUUUGAACGCACAUUGCGCCCCUUGGUAUUCCUUGGGGCAUGCCUGUUCGAGCGUCAUUUGUACCCUCAAGCUUUGCUUGGUGUUGGGUGUUUGUCCCGCGUUGCGCGUGGACUCGCCUUAAAGCGAUUGGCAGCCGGCAUAUUGGCCUUGGAGCGCAGCACAUUUUGCGCUUCUAGUCAUGAAUGUUGGCGUCCAUUAAGCCUAUACAUUUGCUCUUGACCUCGGAUCAGGUAGGGAUACCCGCUGAACUUAAGCAUAUCAAUAAGCGGAGGA
rnacentral:misc_RNA from 1 species